AUAGAAAGUGGAAGCACCAAAGACCGAGGAGAGCUAAUGUUUCGGGGAGAAUAUGACGAGUUAAUUAGCUACACAUAUGUAAUUUCCUUAAAAUCAAGUGUUUAGGUGAAAGUUUGUGGAACAUCAGUCUACUGAGGAAUUCCACCAUGGAAAAUAAUUAAGUUCUAGACAAUGGUAAUGGGAAAGAAAGGAGGCCAAGUCAAUGAAAGGCUAAGCUAAGCCCUAGGAAGACAAAGACAGUCUCCAGUACUGAUUGCUUCCUUAUCAAGCUGUGUCUGCAAAUGGCAAUGGUGGAAGAUGAGAUGGCUUAGGAUCUCCCUCAUCAUGAGGCUUUCCUGUCCAUCCUAGAACUGCACAUCAUAGCUCUAUUUCAUCCACUGAAUCUAAAUAAGAAUACACCAAGCUUUGCUGUGAAUCAGUUUGGAACAAACAGCUACAAAGUGGACAAUAAUUCUGCCUCAUGGAGUGAUAUUGUGACUGAAGAAUGCAGUAAAAGGAAAAGCUGGGACAGAGGAAGAUGAGGACAAGUCUCAGAGAUGGAGCCAGCAUUUUAUUCAUUGCACAGCAAAGAAGGAAGCUGCAGACAGGGACGAAUAGUCCUAGGAACAUAUCCCUAGCUGAACUGUGGAAACUUGCAUAGCCCCGUUAAGAUACUAUGAAAGCUAGUCUUCAGGGGGAAGAGUUCCAGAAGAUAUGUUCCAGCUAAAUUCGUCCAAGUUCU